UUUCGGCGCUUCUUUGUGCGCGGUAUCUGCCAGCUGCCGCGUACGUGGUGUCAAUCCCCUCGUACGGUUGUGUGCAGUAGGUCGCUUACUAAGCGCGCACUGUGUAGAUUUGCCGGUACGCUCCGGGCCGGUGUCUGUCUCUCUGCGCCCACGCCGCUGAUUAUGCAGGCAGUGCGCGAUUGCUGCGCGUAGCCGCUAGCUUGGUGAGCCAGCACCCGUCGACUUUAGUCUUUAAGAAACUCCUUAGAUUACCGUUCAGAUUACCGGAUACACCGUCACUCGACCCUCGGCGGGCAGAAAACGAUGCGGUUGGCUUGACGAAACAAAUUUACGCGAUAGCGUAGGCGGUGAUAGGUCACGGGAGCGUAUCGCGGUGGCGGUGUUAUUUUCUGAGGCAGCGACUACGCCUCCCAUGCAAGUACUAUGCAAUAUCUAUAUAGUCGGCGCUUGUACACUGUUAUUAUUCGACUGCCGGCUCUGUGCACUGGACGCCUCGACUUGUUUAAUAUUUGUUUUGCUGCUGCGCCAUUGCGUACAAAUAUUCAGUUUAUUUUUAGAUACCAAAUUCAUACAAAGUUAUGCUUUGAAACUCAGGAUCUUAUCACACUGGACAGUGUGAUCCUACCGUGCACAAGUAUUCACUCAAUUCCUGCUGCUGGUAAAAAAAAUGGCAGGCUGAUCAACCCAAAUCUGAAAAAAAAUGUGCUUUAGGUCUGCCAUUGUCUACUGCUAAAAAGAGAUACUACCUUGGUAUUCAAUGUCAGUGACACUCAUUAAUUAUGCAUCUUCUUGUCUGAAAUAAUUUGUCUUAGAAGCCAUUCAUUUUAGGUGAUCAGUAAACAUUUCAUGGCUUAAGUGCAUAGGAACAUGAGUUGGGUAACGGCUUUAGUUGUAAAGAGCAAAGCCUGUUAAAGUAUAAAAUUUUGGCACGCUCAGUUUACCAAUAAUGUAAGCUGAACAACAUAGCAAACACAGCGUAGCAGUAAUCCCAUAUUAACUUGCGGCCAGCUGUUUCGUGCUCUAUGUAAUACCGCUGUGUCUAAUUUUUGACUUAUGUUUGAAGACUUGUGUUUCAAGAUUGCCAGCUGUGAGGAUGAAGCAGCUUCAUAGCCGGACAUCACACGCCUUCCAAGUUCCCCUUUUCAGCAACAGAGACCUAGGAUGCCAUUCUACCUGUGCUGCAUUGUGUGGCUGACCACUCCAACGAUCCCAACAGAAUCAUUACACAGAAUGGAAAUAACUUACAUGAAACAAGGUGAAGCCGCAAUUGCCUCGCAUGUUGUCUGGUCGUGAUGCGUGGCUAAAGUGUGAGUUUUGUUGAACACAGUACUGCCGCCACAUUUGUUUGUGUUUCACAAUGCAUGAGGGCAGGUUGUUUCACACAGAUGAGUCAUGCUCCCCCAAAUACAUUAAUACAGCAUCCCAUCUGUCCAAUGUAGGCACAACCUUUUUAGGACUCCAGACUACACAAAAGUUAUGGCCUAAUUUGAUGGAUGCAUAUUAUGCCGCGAGCCACAACAAACCUUCUUCAUUUUUUGAUUUCUGCCUUUUUUUGUCACAGCACAAAACCAUCCUAAUAAGGGCCUGUUGAAAAAUGAUUUGCACAACUGAAUUAGGCAUGACGAUGCAAUACAAUGAAUGAGAUGAGCCAAGUAAAAAUGGUUGCAGUUGUUUUGUAUACUUUUGUGCUUUUUCAUGGGCAAAAGUGCAGUUGGUCGCUAUGGGCUAAAAGUUGUUUUUUCUGUAGGAAGCUUGUGCACAGAGAUUUGCUGUGAUGUGAGAAAAAAUAUGGAGCCAGGAAAACACUGUGGUUGUUGCGUGUGGCACGAUUUGAAGGAAGUGGUGCACUGUGCAAUGGAGGUUGUGUACAGUUGGCCAUGGCCGUCUUGUUAUGCCUACAUUGUGUAGACAGACAUUGUAUUUAUUUGAGAUUGGGGUGAAUUUAGUUGUUUGUGCCUAACAAAUCUCAUCCGCACAUUGCAACGUACUGCAACAAAUGUGAGUUUAUUUCUGUGUUCCACAAAACUCGUUAUAGCCCAAAAUUAUGCAACUUGGACAUCAUAACAAGCACACAGGAACGCAGACCCAAAGAGACACACAGACUGGCCAGGCGCUAGUCUAUGUGUCUCUUCUUCGUGUUCGCGUUCUUUCGCGCUUUUUAUGAUGUCCAAGUUCUGUUAUCACAAAUUAGCCCAAACUUCUGCGUUGAACAGAAAUUAUGACCAGCGAGUACAUUAGAUAAUUAAGCUUUGGCAGAUUCACAACGCAAAGGACAAAUGCAUCGCUCAUUCUAAGUUACACUGCAUGAAGAAUUUGUUUUUGAAUGAAUGAUGUCACUUCAUAUCACCAAGUGUUAUGUGUGCUUUCUAUUUUCUUAUUAAAACUAGACUUAUGAGUAGGCGCUUGUGUCCUGCUUGUUGUUGUCUUCGUUUAGUUUCUGUGAUGCCAUUAAGCCAGAAUAAAUCCCUGACAGGAACUGCCAGUCCGUACAUUGCCAUACUGCCAGACAUUGUAUGCAGUAUGGCUGCUGGCCUGACUUUGACAAGUGCGAAGUAGCAGUAAGAACUUCAGAAGAGUAGAACUUUGGGCCAGUUGGUGAUGCGUAUUAGAAUACAGUGAAGUGCAAUAGAUGGGACAAUUUGAGGUGAGACAGACGAGCCAAGCACUACUGACAACUGUGAACGUUUAUUGGAAAAUUUUGCUGCACCAGGACAAUGCACACAUGUGCCCAAGACACCCAAAACCAGCAACAAACAGAGCAGGCACAGAAAAAGGAAAUAUGGCAAAAAUUUCUAACAACGUGUGCACGAUCUCUUCUUCAAACAUGAUAAUUGGGAAGCUACGCUGUCAACUGCGCACAACUGGCACAAGAGACAAGAAACAUAAAAAACGAAACAGAAGUAGAAGAACUAGCUUACCUGUGGCUGCCUGUGAAUCGCGCUUCUUUGUUUACAGUGCCACCAAAGCCACGCUAGCGCGCGUAUCAGAUCCAGAAUUGAAAAUAAUUUUCAAUUAACACUGCUUCGAAAGGCUCGCAUUCUAAUUUUGUUUUUCCACGGCCUACAACUUCCACAUUCCUCAACUACAUAUAGCAACCGCAACUUUUGCAGUCCCAGACAAGAUCCAAACCUUUCUCCUUAUUUCAAACACCUGAAGUGAUGUCGCAGCUUUUCAUUCAGGUACUGGCCAGUCUGUCCCAAGUAAACACGACCGCUGUACUUGAAUUCUGUACAUGACAGAAGUAGCGCAUGGGACAUACUGAUAGUCGUGUUUCGUCGUACAGUAUUUCUUUACUCGACUACGCGUGACGCGUUUGCACAGUUGUGCCAACUUGCAUGGCACAGGAAACACAGGGACCACCCCAUACUUCCCUGUGACUUUCAUUAAGUUGUGUGAAACCUUAUGCACAUAAGCGUUGCCACCUUGAGGGGGUGGAUGUGUUGCUGAGGUUUCGCACAACUUAAGGAAAGCAGCAGGGAAGUAGGGUAGAUCUUGUGUUUUCUGCGCCAUGCAAGUUAGCACAAGUGUGCAAAUGCAUCGCGGGUAGUCAAAUUAGGAAAUAUUGUACGACAAAACGUGAGUACCAGUAUGUCCCAUGCGCUAAUUCUGUCGUGUACAGGAUUCGUUAAACUGUGGUCGUGUUUACUUGGGACAGACUGACCAAUGCCUGAGCGACAGGCUGUGACAGUACUUUAGGUGUUUGAAAUAAGGAGAAAUGUGGGAUCUUGCCUUGCAGUGCAAAAGUGUGUUAUUGUGGCUUUGGGGGCACUAUAAACAAAGAAGUGCGAUUCAUAGGUAGCCACAGCUUAGCUAGUUCUUCUACUUCUGUUUUCUUGUUUAUUCCUCUUGGGCCAGUUGUGCGCAGUUGACAGCGUACACAUGCUUCCCAAUUACCAUCACAUUCAUAAGAGAUUGUGCGUGCGUUGUUAGCUAUCUUUGCUGUAUUUCUUUGUUUUUUGCGCCUGCUCUGUUUGUUGCUGGCUUCGGGGUGUCUUGGGCGCAUCUCUCUCUGCAGCGAAAUUUUCUAAUAAAUGUUCAGCUGUCAGUUGCGCUUGUCCCGUCUGUCUCGCCUGACCUUGUCCCGUCUAGGGCACUUCACCAUACUCUAAUAGCAGUAAGAAGAGCAACUAACUCACCCGAGAAUAAACAAGGUUCACAGAAUUGCCAAAUUGAAGGAGAAAUGUUUCAGUGUAGGACCUGUUUUGUGAACUGACAAGGAAAUGGCAUACUUGUUUGCGAACCAAUGACCAGGUGCAUUUUCCACGCACAUACAUUAUUGUGUGUAACUGCUCCCUGCUUCUUAGGUUUUUGUGGUUUUAUCAAGUGUUCGUGAGUACUUGACUGUUUGUUGUAAAAUUAAAUCAGUUGUCAUUCAGCACGGCGUGUCAUUUUGUAUAAGCCCUUACUUCGUCUUUGUCGCUGGUCCCACCUUUAUAUGAAUUUCCAAAUAUCCUUUUUUUCAGAUUAUGAGCAGAAUACUUUUAAUACGUAUGUCAUUACAAAAAUCUUCUCAAUUAUAGGAAGAAGUCCUGCUGACCUCAAGCAUGGUGUGAAAUGAAGAAAUGGCACUCCACAUCCAUAGGGAACUUGAUUUCCCCUGUUUCAUGCUUACUUGUUGGCAUAGCCAGUCUGUUAGCUUCAAUUUUGGUUCUUCCAUAUUGAAUGCUCAAGAAAGGCACCAAAACUGAAAUUCUUUGAAAAAAAAAUGUGCUUGCAGACACUGCCACGCACAAAGCCCUUGAACUCAUGAAUGUUUUUAUAAGAAAAUGCAGCUUCUGUGUGCAGCAAUAGACUGUUAGACUGAACAAGAUGAGGGCGAACAGGAAGGUUGCGACAUUAGUGAUUAAGAGUUGUCCAGCAAAGAAGGUCUCAAGCUGAAGCCAGCAUCUUUGCAAAGGAACAAAUUGAUUUAGCCUGAGACAUUCUUUGUUCGACAAGACAAGUCUCCUUGUCGAAACAUGUGCUCUGGCCUGAGUCGUACAUAUCCCGUUCUACCACUCUCGAUCAACAAUACACCAAUACAAUUAGCAACUCGUGGCAUUGUCGUAAAUUCACGUUCGAAGGGAACGUAGUGUGCACCCUGCAAGGUAGCAUGAAUAGUAUGUUAUUUACUUGAAUGAAAUGCAGAUUUGCUUGACAGUUACUUUCUCCCCAUGAUAUAAUUGAAAAGCAUGGUUCCUAAGAGAGAAUAAUGAUUUGAAGUUCACACAGUCUUGCUCCCUUAUGUCAGUUCACACUGUUACGGUUGCUACACUACCAGUCCUGCCUGCAACUGCAUAGUAGUGCUCCGAGUACUCAGCCCAAUUCAAUAAAAGAAUUAGGCUUUUUCCGCAGAAAAUGUGCUGCUGCUUCACAGCUUGGUGUAGACAAGUAUUUUAUAUCUGGAUGGUGACUGCACUAGGAUGUGCUUUUUAAAUAAGAGCGAUAUGCUGUUUCAAGUGCAAUUAAAUGCAAUUUCAAAUGACCUCUGCUUGGGGGAUCACACGAUGGGAGGCCAAUGUGCGAAGGAGGAUUUGAUUUCUGAGAACUAGGCACUUGAACAUGAGAAAGCAUGACUUAAUUCAUCUAAAGUUGCUACUGUUGGAUAUGAUCAGGGAAGGUACUUAUUCGUGGCUCUAUUUGCAACAUAUUACAAUGCUUUCUUAAUAUUUUGCACUUGGUAGAAUGAAAAAACCAUUGCUUGCCCAAUAUUCAGCUAAAGAAGGUAGCCACGCUAAAGUGUCCAUGCAGAACACAACUCACUAACUAUUACAAAAUAAAUACACCGGGUGAUCUUUUCUAAGUUUGAUGGAAUUUUAAAAAUCGCCUGUGGCAGGCAGCAUAAUUCUUGACCUUGAGCUGGACUAUUUGAAGAGGCGGAUUACUAGCACAAGAAAUUGAAACACAUACUCAAUUAGUUAACGAAAAAUUCAGUAAUUAACUUCUUAACUGAUUAGUUUACAGCACUUAUUGCACAUAACGAAUGGUAGCCGGAGAGCUUGCAAGACGUGUCCACUUGAAAUGGAUUUCCAGGAAGACACCAGUUUCGAAAUAUUAUUUCCGAAAGUGUGGGACGAAAUACAUGGGAGUUCCAGUUAGUUUAGCGCUUCAAUGCAGACGAUAGCAUUUUGUUAAAAAUGGAAGUUGACAACAGUGCAUCUUUAGGCCAAGUUUGGUGGCGUAUAUCUCCAAACUGGCGUCAUUCUGGAAAUUCAUUCCAAGUGGAUAUGCCUUGCAAGCUCACUGGCUACAAUUUGUAAACUGCAAUAUGGCCGUAAAUUAAUUCAAAUGAUAAUUAGUAGAUUUUUGUUAAUUAGCUUAAUAUGUGCUAUAGUUACGUUCGGGACGUGCUCGUCGCCGCAAACGACUGCGCGCUUCUUACACUGGAGUUCCGUCAUGCGCAGGAACCGUUUAAAGCUUCGCUUACGCCGAUUGAGGCAGCGAGUGGCAUCUGUUGUCUCUCACUUCUUUCUAAUGCAUGUUCUUGGCUUGCUAGAGACCUAAGGUGGCGGCCAGGUUGAUGUAUAUAGAAACUAUGUAGGGUGUGUCCCAGGUAACCCGCGCCAAGCUAAUUAACGAGAAAGCAAGAUAGAACGAUGAGACAAAUAACGCGAAAGAUCGUGGCGCGAAACAUUAGUUUUCGCUCAUAAAAAGGAAGCCGUGGGCGGGUCACCAUCGCAGACCACUGAACAGCUGAAGUUUUUCUACGACGUAGGCAGGGGAUGUCACGUGAGAGCUCUAUGGUGCUGAAGAUUAUUUUGCGUUCACGUGAGCCAAAACGCAGAGUUCGUAGUUAUUAUUACUGCAUAUAACUAAAAAUAAUAACUUAGUACUAUUUGUCAUAAAAUAAAAGCACUAUGAUUUCACCCUCUGUAGCGAUUCGCUGGAACUGUAGCGAUUCGCUGGAAAGUUCUUUCCUCCAUUCAAAAAGUUCCGUGUGCAAGCGUGAUAUCGACUGUCACGGCGGCAAGGACAUUUGGCUGCAACGGGUUGUGCAAAAAAAGGAUUGCUGUAGUUGAAUGUGAAAAUUUAUAUACAAAUAAAACUGCAAAUAAAAAUGGCUACAUUUGGCUACGAAAUAUUUUGCUCUCUUCUUGUGUUUGGCUAUAUUUGGGCUACAAUUUCUCUAACUUUGGGCUACGCCGCCUCGUCCGACCUGGCAGCACUGAUGCACCUGUGAACUAGCGAAGCUGAGCCUGGAUAAGUCUAGCUAAGAAUGGUGGGGACUAUUUAAACUUAGUCAUCGAUAGCCAAUUGAUGGCCAAUCAAUAGCUAGUCGAUAAUCGAUCAGUAAUCAAUAAAUUCCGGAAAAUGCUGGGGAUGACUUGGUAGUGCUUAGCCUAGCCCAAAUACGUGGCCAAUAUCUUGCGACAGACAAUCGAUAGCCAAUCAAAAGCUAAUCGAUAAUUGAUCAAUAAUCAAUAAAUUCUGGGAAAUGCUGGGAAUGACUUGGUAGUGCUUACCCUAGCCCAAAUACGUGGCCAAUAUCUUGCGACAGACAAUCGAUAGCCAAUCAAAAGCUAAUCGACAAUGAAUCAAUAAUAAAUAAAUUCCUGGAAAUGCUGAGUGCUUAGCCUAGCCCAAAAGCCAGGACUAGGUAGGUGCCCACCAGCUCCGCUGUCUCUUUAGCAUUGCGCCGCCAGUGCAAACUACGCAUUUUUUCCCCACAAAAAGCCGAAACGGAGAGAAGGAAACAUUUCCCUGUAGCAUUCCACUACCAUAUCCCCCUUCAUCCCAUGAUGUUUAUUGGUGAACAACCUCUUUUUAAUA